rnacentral:lncRNA from 1 species
GGACCUCGCCCAAAGGCCACCCAGGCAGCACGGGUACCUUGGGUACCCGUGGGGUCCUGGACAGUGGGGACAGAAUCCAGACUGUGACUGCGACCCUGCUGGCCUGCGGGUGGACAUCUGUCCCCGUUUCCAGCUACUUCUCUGACCCUCAGAAUUGAGAUCUCGGAACCACCCACCCCACUGUCC